GUAGGUGGCAAGCGUUGUCCGGAAUUAUUGGGCGUAAAGCGCGCGCAGGCGGUUCUUUAAGUCUGAUGUGAAAGCCCACGGCUCAACCGUGGAGGGUCAUUGGAAACUGGAGAACUUGAGUACAGAAGAGGAAAGCGGAAUUCCACGUGUAGCGGUGAAAUGCGUAGAGAUGUGGAGGAACACCAGUGGCGAAGGCGGCUUUCUGGUCUGUAACUGACGCUGAGGCGCGAAAGCGUGGGGAGCAAACAGGGAAUAGAUACCCUGGUAGUCCACGCCGUAAACGAUGAGUGCUAAGUGUUAGGGGGGUUUCCGCCCCCUUAGUGCUGCAGCUAACGCAUUAAGCACUCCGCCUGGGGAGUACGGCCGCAAGGCUG
rnacentral:rRNA from 1 species